CUGGCGGCGUGCUUUAUCAUGCAAGUCGACGAUGAAGUUCCUUCGGGAAUGGAUUAGUGGCGAACGGGUGAGGAACACGUGAGAAACCUGCCUUUCAUUCUGGGAUAACACCGGGAAACCGGUGCUAAUACCGGAUAUUCCAUCUUGGCGGCAUCGCCGAGCUGGGAAAAAAUUUUGAUGAAAGAUGGUCUCGCGGCCUAUCAGCUAGUUGGUGAGGUAAAGGCUCACCAAGGCGACGACGGGUAGCCGGCCUGAGAGGGCGACCGGCCACACUGGGACUGAGACACGGCCCAGACUCCUACGGGAGGCAGCAGUAGGGAAUAUUGGGCAAUGGGCGAAAGCCUGACCCAGCGACGCCGCGUGAGGGAUGAAGGUCUUCGGAUUGUAAACCUCUUUCAGUAGGGAAGAAGCGAAAGUGACGGUACCUAAAGAAGAAGCACCGGCUAACUAUGUGCCAGCAGCCGCGGUAAUACAUAGGGUGCAAGCGUUGUCCGGAAUUAUUGGGCGUAAAGAGCUCGUAGGUCGUUUGUCGCGUCGAUUGUGAAAAUCUGAGGCUCAACCUCAGACCUGCAGUCGAUACGGGCAAACUAGAGUGUGGUAGGGGAGACUGGAAUUCCUGGUGUAGCGGUGGAAUGCGCAGAUAUCAGGAGGAACACCAAUGGCGAAGGCAGGUCUCUGGGCCAUAACUGACACUGAGGAGCGAAAGUGCGGGGAGCGAACAGGAUUAGAUACCCUGGUAGUCCGCACCGUAAACGGUGGGCACUAGUUGUGGGAACCUUCCACGGUUUCCGCGACGCAGCAAACGCAUUAAGUGCC
rnacentral:rRNA from 1 species